CAAAAACAAACAAACAAAAUGGAGAAGAGAAGGAUUGUUGGACUUAUGUGGGAUGCAACUCUGGAGUGGGCUCCCGAUAAGAGGAUGAAUUCAGCCCUCCUUCCUCUUCUUUCACGUGUUCUCUUGCCCUUCCACCCUCCACCAUGGGAUGACACACCAAGAAGGCCUUCACCAGAUGUGGGCCCUUGACCUUGGACUUCCCAGCCUCCAGAACUAAGGAGAAACCAACUCCAAGUUCUUAUUGGAAUAUUUACAGGGUACUGGAGGGGCUCACAGUAUUAAGGAGAAGACUCCGGCAGCCUCUGAAAGAAAGAAAACUAGGGAAGCUCUGGAAACACCAAUAAACGACCUCUGUCUAGGACGCUGCUGGUGGAUGACUCAAUGUGAUGGUUCAUUUCAUGUGUCAGCUUGGAUGGGCUAUAGGGUGCAGGUAUUGGGUCAAACAUUAUUCUAGAUGUAUCUGUGAAGCUCUAUUUUAGAUGAGAUAGACACUGAAAUGGGUGAACUUUGAGUAAAGAAGAGCACUCGCUAUAAUGUGGGUGAGCCUCUUCCAAUCAGGUGAAGACCUUAGCAGAAAAAAAACUGACUGUAGGCGUCCC
rnacentral:lncRNA from 10 species